rnacentral:misc_RNA from 1 species
UUAAAAAAUCUCUCACGAGUCUUGUAUUGGUUUGACUGUCAUUUUCUGCUUAGUUUUCAGUGAUCCGUGUUAUUUUACAUUAUUACAUGGGUUUGUAGCUCAGUUGGUUAGAGCACACCCCUGAUAAGGGUGAGGCCGAUGGUUCGAGUCCAUUCAAACCCACCAUAUAAAAUGAUAAUCAGAAGUCUGAUUCAAGCACUACUAAGUAGUAUUUGAAUUAGACUUUUAAAGUCUAAAUGUUAUUUGAAUUAUUAUUGUUAAGUCGUCAACUACUACUGAUGUUAUACAUCAAAUGAGCAAAAGCCCAUUUGAUGGCAGGGACAAAUGUCCCUUGCAUCCCCCUAAAGCUAUGAAAAACUUAGUUUUUCAAGAUUUAAGAGAUAAGUAACAUCGGUAGUUAAACGUAACUACAAAAUCAUUUUACUGUCUUAUUUUUAAUAAGGCGGUGAAGCGCAAAUUAGAAUUAAAUUUACAAGUUUGGCACACAUACGGUUUCCGGACGCAAAAGCCGAAAGCUUUUGUGUGCUUUAGUAGACCUAGCGUCUAGCGUAGGUAAGAGUGACUUGUUGCUCUUACCGUGUAAUUAAAAAAGAUAUUAAGAGCCAUAGGUGGAUGCCUUGGCUGGUAGAGGCGAUGAAGGACGUA